rnacentral:rRNA from 1 species
UCCUGGUGUCCAUGGCGCAGUGGAACCACACCGAUCCAUCUCGAACUCGGUUGUGAAACGCUGCAGCGCCGACGAUAGUUGGGGGGAAGCCCCCUGAGAAAAUAGGUCGAUGCCAGGUA